UUGAACUGAGGAGCUGUGGAAAAUGGCGCAAACUCAACAAGCUCUCAUUCUCCUUCCAAAAAUGGUGAAAAGUCCCCCACUCAAAGCUCUCUCACUCUUCACUUCCUCAGCUCUCCAAGGCUUCCAGCACACUCACCAAUCCAUAUCCUUUAUUCUACACCUCCUCAUCUCCUCCAACUUGUUUUCUCAUUCCCAGUCUCUUCUUCUCAAACUCAUCUCUGGUCAAAUCUCUUCUUCAUCUUUCACCCCCUCGUCGCUUUUCCAUGAGUUAACCCAACCCCACUUGGAUUCUUUUCCAACCCAUGUUCUUAUCCACGAAGCAAUCAUCAAUGCCCAUGUUCGAUCCCAAUUACCUGAACAAGCUCUCUUCUAUUUCAAUCAGAUGAUUGGUAGAGGUCUUGUACCCGGAUCAAAUACAUUUAAUAAUCUUCUGAUUCUGCUUAUAAAGUCUAAUUUUUUUGAAAAAGCUUGGCGGGUCUUUAAUGAGACCAAGGGCAAUGUUAAGUUGGAUGUCUAUAGUUUUGGAAUAAUGAUUAAGGGUUGUUGUGAGGUUGGAUAUUUGGAUAAGGGUUUUGAGGUUUUGGGUCAGAUGGAGGAGAUGGGUUUGUCCCCAAAUGUUGUUGUUUACACUACUUUGAUUGAUGGGUGUUGUAAGAAUGGUGAUAUUGAGCGGGGGAAGCAGUUGUUCUAUAAAAUGGGGGAGCUGGAUGUAGUUGCUAAUCAGUACACAUACACUGUAUUGAUCAAUGGGUUUUUCAAAAUGGGCCUUAAGAAAGAUGGGAUUGAGCUGUAUGAGAAGAUGAAGCUUACUGGGAUUGUUCCUAAUGUAUAUACUUACAAUUCCAUGAUUUGUAGAUGCUGCAAUGAUGGCAAAUUGAACAAUGCUUUUGAACUGUUUGAUGAAAUGCGUGAAAGAGGGGUAGCAUGUAACGUUGUGACGUAUAACACCUUAAUUGGUGGUCUUUGUCAAGAAAGGAGGGUUCUGGAGGCUGAAAGAUUGAUGUGUAGGAUGAAGAGGGAUGGCCUGAGUCCUAAUUUAAUUUCGUAUAACACAUUGAUUGAUGGGUAUUGCAGUAUUGGGAAUUUGGACAAGGCUUCAAGCUUAUUCAAUCAAAUGAAGUCAAGUGGUCAGUCUCCAUCUUUAGCUACUUAUAAUAUUCUAAUUGCGGGUUUUUCUGAAGCCAAAAACUCAGCCGGAGUAACUGAUAUGGUUAGAGAAAUGGAAGCAAGAGGCCUUUCCCCUUCUAAAGUCACAUAUACAAUUCUAAUGGACGCCCUUGUUCGAUCAGAUAACAUAGAGAAAGCAUUUCAGAUAUAUUCCUCUAUGGAGAAGGCUGGUUUGGUGGCAGAUAUUUACAUCUAUGGUGUGUUAAUACAUGGAUUGUGUGUGGUAGGUGAUAUGAAGGAAGCAUCAAAGCUGUUCAAGUCAUUGGACGAGAUGCAUUUGAAGCCAAAUGAUGUGAUAUAUAAUACGAUGAUUUAUGGGUAUUGCAAAGAGGGUAGCUCCUAUAGAGCCCUGAGAUUGCUUAAAGAAAUGGGUGAGAAUGGGAUGGUUCCAAAUGUUGCUAGCUAUAAUUCAACCAUACAAAUUCUUUGCAAGGAUGAGAAAUGGACAGAAGCAGAAGUUCUACUUAAAGAUAUGAUAGAGUUGGGUUUAAAGCCAUCCAUUUCUAUCUGGAAUAUGAUUUCUAAAGCCAGGUUUGAUAAUGUAUGAAGGGAGAUUUUGAAUUGCUUUCAUGUAGACUUGAAUGUAUAUAUUAGGGAAAAAAAUAAAUGGAGAAACAGAUGAGAAGAGGCUACAAUCAAAUUGCCUAAAUCUUCUGAUGUCCCUGCUUCUCUCUCAAGGGGUUGAUCAUUGCCUCAUUUUUAGGUGUUACUGAGCAGCUUAAUUAUGACUCCAGAAUUUGGCUCAUUGAGAAUGCAAAGAUGAUGUUUUAGCCCAUGUUCAGAGGAUGGACAGCCCAAUAUGACAUAGAAAACCUAAGAGCAGACUUGGAAAAAGGAGUGGUUCUAUAACUUCAAAUCUUAUUCAAAAUCUACCUGUUGGCAUGGAAGAAGCAGAUUGUUUUCAUGUCCUCCCAACCAUUGUCUCAAAUCUCUUGAGACUGAUGUCCAAGCCGAGGCACAGUAGAAGAGGGCAAGUGGCUUUGAAAGCAUCAUCAAAUUUGCUCAAUCCUUGCAAGUUCCUCAGGAGGAAAGGAGAUUCAUAGCUUGGGGUUUCAUCCAUCCCUUCUUAUGUCCAUUUGUGUUAUAUAGCUUAGCUGCGAAUGCAUAUAAAUUUGAUCACAUGCUAAAGAGGUGGGAUUAUUCAGAAUAGAGAAGAAAGUUACCAAGAUACCAUGAUAUGUAUUCUAAUCUAGGUUUUCCAAUGGUUGAAUUUGGAUCAAGCCCCACAUAACUGAAUAGUGUAAACUUUGAUUCAGAAAACAUUUCUUUGCAAGA